UGUAAAACCUUAAAUAAUGAGAGCACUGCUUACCCUCAGAAUAAAGAGCGCCUGUGUACUGACUCCCUGUUCUGCUCCAGGGGCUUCAGAGCCAUCCUCCUUCUGUACUGACUCCAGCCCUGUGUGGUAGAUGCUAAUACACCCUAAGAAAGCUGGGGACCAUGGAAGCUGCCACCAUCCCAACAGCCCUGGUUGAUAUUGAGAUCUCUGCAUCUUCAGGUUAGUUUUGCUUUGCCCUGGAUGGGACUGCUUAGUCGGCAAAGACCUGGAUGCCUGAAAAAGGAAGGGAAGUUCUGAGUCUGGCAAUAAAAGGACCAGAGGAAGAUGAUGGUGAAGUCCAGAAGUAACACAAAAAGACUUCUGGAAAAAAAAGGGAUGCUGCUCUAACUCUGGGAGUUUGGCUGAUAUGUGAGACCUGGCUCUCUCGGGAUGACAUGGAAGGUGACCCUCUCAGGCUCUGCCUACUACCCACCAGUCUUCUGCCCCCAUCUCUAGCCUCCUUCCUGCCCUCUCUUGUGAGCCAAGCGUGCACAGAUCGCAGAGAUGUGGCAGACCGAAUGGCCCAUCACUCAGAAGUCAUGUGCACAGCCGUGGAGACCCAGUGUGGAGAAUCACUUCUGCAGGGACACAGAAAUGCGCUGCCCAGGGCGAGACAGAGGCUGGACAGGAGACUUGCCUCAGAGACAGCUGCACCAAAUCUGCUGCCACCGCUGUACACACUGGGCAUUGAGCUCGGUUUGAGAGAGGCCCUACAGCUAAAACUGGAGUAGCCCUGGCCCAGGAGCACAGAGACUGCCUUUCUCCCUACAACCCCUGUUUUCAUCGAGCCACAUAGUGAAAAGCCUUCAGUGCUAUUCCACACUGCUUACCUUUGAUACUGUUUGAUGUUUCUUUCAGCAGCUAGAUGCACUUUUAACUAAUAACAGCUAAAACACUUGAUUUCUUUUCUAUCUCUUCAGAAUUAUAGGUAACACUGC
rnacentral:lncRNA from 1 species